rnacentral:misc_RNA from 1 species
CGGUUGCGGCUCUGGUGUUCGCUUUUGGUUCUUGUGUUGCCUACCCGUUUAGCGGUAUUCAUGUGCGUCUUAAGACCCGUUCCAUCCAGACCCCUUCUAGGGGCUGCUGGGGGAUUCCAAAGUGAUGCAUGUUUUGCGUUAGCUGUGCGUUGUAACGGCUCGCGUGCUCACAUGUGUUUAUUUUUCCCUUGGAUGCGGUGCAUGCGACGAACGUGGGCUGAUGAUUGUGCCCCGUUGAGUCCCUUUGAUUUAUCGGUUGCCUUGAAUGACACUUUGCCGUAGUGCUGGUCUUGCUUUACCAUUCUUGGGGGCAACACUUGCACGUCGAGCAGAGUUGUUGAUGG